GACGAACGCUGGCGGCGUGCCUAAUACAUGCAAGUCGAGCGAACUAAAAGGAGCUUGCUCCUUUUAGUUAUCGGCGGACGGGUGAGUAACACGUGGGCAACCUGCCUGUAAGACUGGGAUAACACUGGGAAACCGGUGCUAAUACCGGAUAAUCCUUUUCCUCUCAUGAGGAGAAGCUGAAAGACGGUUUCGGCUGUCACUUACAGAUGGGCCCGCGGCGCAUUAGCUAGUUGGUGAGGUAACGGCUCACCAAGGCGACGAUGCGUAGCCGACCUGAGAGGGUGAUCGGCCACACUGGGACUGAGACACGGCCCAGACUCCUACGGGAGGCAGCAGUAGGGAAUCUUCCACAAUGGACGAAAGUCUGAUGGAGCAACGCCGCGUGAGCGAUGAAGGCCUUCGGGUCGUAAAGCUCUGUUGUUAGGGAAGAACAAGUACCGUAGUAACUGCCGGUACCUUGACGGUACCUAACCAGAAAGCCACGGCUAACUACGUGCCAGCCGCCGCGGUAAUAC
rnacentral:rRNA from 1 species